ACUAUGUUGCAACCAUACGAAUACUAGCAGACAGGAUGAUGUGGCAUUUCAGUUCUAUUUUUAAUACCAAUACGGAACAACGUAACAAGACUGUGGGGUGUUACCUUACUAUUAUCAACCUUACACCGGCCAGGGAAAGGAAUCAUGAAAACAGCCACUACUUCGGGCUUUCGAAACAGGUGUGGAGGUAGUACCAGAGGGUAAAGACGUGCGCGCACCAUCUGAAUUUUUAUUGGCCAUAAGGCCGAUGGGUACCGGAAGAGGUUUCAUAACACGUGGGCCUGAUGGGGCGCCUCUACGAGUUUUCUUCCCAGACAUCACUUCUUCCGUUUUGGAUUUUCGAUUUCCCUGGUGUGCAGGACCAACAGGUCUUAAGCGAGGUCUCCCCGGGCGACGUCUAACUGCAGGACCGGCUGAAAUGUCUUGUUGUCCUGUAGGCAUUUCCUCUCCUAGAAUAAAACAAAAUUAAAUAAAACAAAAUUGAAUAAAACAAAAUUGAAUAAAACAAAAUUGAAUAAAACAAAAUUGAAAAAAACUAAACAAAAUUGAAUAAAACAAAUUGGUUUAAAAUAAAA